rnacentral:misc_RNA from 1 species
CCAAUCUUAGCGGGCCUGGUCUUGUCGACCAUGGUUUCGCGAAAAUUGUAUUUAAAACCCCACUCUUUAUAUAAAAUGAAUCAUUUUAUUUGUAAUAAUAAAUAAAGA